GACGAACGCUGGCGGCGUGCUUAACACAUGCAAGUCGAACGGACAGGCCCUGCUUUUGUGGGUUUCUCGAUAGCGGAACGGGUGAGUAACACGUGUGUAACCUGCCCUUAUCUUUGGGAUAAAUUCUCGAAACUGGGGCUAUUAUCGGGUAUAAGCUCCUGCUGCGUGUGGUGGGUUGGAGAGUGUCGGCGGUUGGGGAUGGACUGGCGGGUUAUCCGCUGGUUGGUGAGGUAGUGGCUUACCAAGGCUUUGACGGGUAGCCGGCAUUGGAGGGUGACCGGCGACCAUGGGACUGCGAUACGGAGCAGACGGCUACCGGAGGCAGCAGGCGAGAGUCUUGCGGAGCAGGCGGAAGCCUGAUGCAGAAAUGCCGCGUGCGUGAUGACGGGUUACGAGGUAUAAACCGAUGUCGCCGUUGAUGUACACUGCUUGACGGUAAUGGGUCAGGAAGCCACGGCUAACUACGUG
rnacentral:rRNA from 1 species